CAGCAGCCACGGGAAUACAGAGGGUGCAAGCGUUAAUCGGAAUUACUGGGCGUAAAGCGCGCGUAGGUGGUUUGUUAAGUUGGAUGUGAAAUCCCCGGGCUCAACCUGGGAACUGCAUUCAAAACUGACUGACUAGAGUAUGGUAGAGGGUGGUGGAAUUUCCUGUGUAGCGGUGAAAUGCGUAGAUAUAGGAAGGAACACCAGUGGCGAAGGCGACCAUCUGGACUAAUACUGACACUGAGGUGCGAAAGCGUGGGGAGCAAACAGGAUUAGAUACCCCGGUAGUCCCUGUCUCUUAUAC
rnacentral:rRNA from 1 species